rnacentral:rRNA from 1 species
UACGAGGGCCCCAAGCGUUAUCCGGAAUUAUUGGGCGUAAAGGGUGUGUAGGUGGUUUUGUUAGUCUUCUGUUAAAGCUCCCGGCUUAACCGGGAAAGUGCAGAGGAAACGGCAAGACUAGAGGAUGUGAGAGGUUUAUGGAACUCAUGGUGUAGGGGUGAAAUCCGUUGAUAUCAUGGGGAACACCGAAAGCGAAGGCAAUAAACUGGCGCAUUCCUGACACUGAAACACGAAAGCGUGGGUAGCGAAUGGG